GAUGAACGCUGGCGGCGUGCCUAAUACAUGCAAGUCGAACGAACGGACGAGAAGCUUUCUUCUCUGAUUUUAGCGGCGGACGGGUGAGUAACACGGGGAUAACCUACCUAUAAGACUGGGAUAACUUCGGGAAACCGUAGCUUAGACCGGAUAAUAUUUCGAACCUCAUUGUUCAAAAGUUGAAGACGGUCUUUCUUUCACUUACAGAUUGAUCAGCGCUGCAUUAGCUAGUUGGUAAGGUAGCGGCUUAGCAAGGCAACGAUGCAUAGCCGACCUGAGAGGGUGAAUGGAUACACUGGCACUGAGAAUCAGUAGCGACACCUACAGGAGGAAGCAGUCGGGAAUCCUACGCAAUGCGGCAAAGCCUGAUGGAGCACAGCCGCGUAAGUCCUGAAGGACCUAGGCUGGUAAAACUAUGAAAUCCGGGAAGAACAUAAGUGUAAGUACCUGUGAACAUAUUGACGGUACCUAAUGAGAAAGCCCCGGCUAACUCCGUG
rnacentral:rRNA from 1 species